AAUAAGUGUACUUUUACACUGUUCACGUCUAACGUUUGACCGCUGAUCUUAUUUAAAAAAAAUUAUGAUUAGUAUUUUUGUUGUUAUUAGAUGAUAAAACAUGAAUAGUAUUUCAUGUGAGACUUACUUUUUUUUUAUUUUUUUUCAAAUAAGACGGACGGUCAAAUAAAUA
rnacentral:pre_miRNA from 1 species